rnacentral:lncRNA from 1 species
GAAAUGGAGCGGCCAGGGGAAUCGGAGGUCCCAUGGGCCUCGGUGCUAUGCUAAAGCCUCAGACUUUCUAUGAAGGUGAUGAUGACCUUCUGAAGAAUUGCAAACAAGGCCUAACUAUGGCUUGUCUCCGUUUGGGCUCACCUCAGUGCUCUCUCGACAGCCUUCGUAUGUCCACUUUGGCAUCCCUUCCUUCUGUUCUCUGAUAUUUUUAUCUCAUUCAAAUAUCAUAUCACUCACCUCAGUCUCAAAACUCCCACUGGACUAGAAGGGCUGCAAGGACUACCUGCCUGUCUGACGCUCCCCAUCCUGGCCAUCCCUCCCCUGCUGGAUUUCAGGUCUGGCUGUGACACUCAUUGGUCCUGGGACUUGGAGCAGAACCCUCCAGACGCCGGUUUUCCUUACAUGAGAAAAUAGGAUUUAUAGGCUGAUUUUCAGGGUCAUCAUGAAGAUUAAAUGAGAUGGCUCAAGAAUAAAUGCCUGACAGAAGUGG